CACUCGGGGAUCUUGUUAAAAUACAGAUUCUGGCUUAGCAUGAAGCCCGAGUUUGGGCAUUUUUCACAAGUUCCCUGUGAAGGCAGAGCU
rnacentral:pre_miRNA from 14 species